AACAAACAAAUUUUCUUAGGAAACAUAUAUAAACCUACAAUUACUAUAUACUAUAAAUGACACAGUGUUACAAAUUUAUAUGAUUUUAAGUAAGACUAUAGGCUAGCUAGUAAGAACGUAUCCAGUUUGAAGAGUUUUAGUGUGCUAUAACCGCAUAAUUAACUUAACAAAAAGAUGUUACAAAAAAAAACGUAACAAAAAGAUAUCUAACUUAAAAAAAAGGAAAAAGUUACUGAUAUACAUAUAUAUAUAUAUAUAUAUAUAUAUAUAUAUAUAUAUAAAGGUGUACAUUACUGAAAGCCUUUUUCAAAAGACAAAAAUACAUAUGUGUGGUGACUGGUUGAAUUUUAUCUUACUUCUUUAAUUUUAUUUAUUUUAAAAUUUAUUAAAUCUUACACUUUGUUGUGCCUUUAGAU
rnacentral:lncRNA from 1 species